UACGAAGGGUGCAAGCGUUACUCGGAAUUACUGGGCGUAAAGCGUGCGUAGGUGGUGAGUUAAGUCUGUCGUGAAAGCCCCGGGCUCAACCUGGGAAUGGCGAUGGAUACUGGCUCGCUAGAGUGCGGUAGAGGAGAGUGGAAUUCCCGGUGUAGCAGUGAAAUGCGUAGAGAUCGGGAGGAACACCCGUGGCGAAAGCGGCGCGCUGGACCACUACUGACGCUGAGGAACGAAAGCUAGGGGAGCAAACAGG
rnacentral:rRNA from 1 species